CCCUUCCAAAACUUCUCACCCCCUCUCUGCUUAAAUAAUUGCGUAAGACCGGAGUGGGAGGAGGGGGUAAGAUUUUAUUUUUUUAUCCACGCAAAUGAGAAAUAGGAAACCCGAGAAGAUGCGCUCGGCUCCAAGGAAAUUAUCCUUCAAAAGUGAAGGAACAACUUUUCUCAAACAAAAUUUGAGGAAGUUUGUGGCCAGUAGAUCUGCCUUGCAAAAAAGAUUAAAAGAAGUUCUCCAGAGAGAUGGAAAAUAAUGUAAGCCAGAAACUCAGAUCUUUAGAAGAAUGAGUAUUGGCAAAGAAUAAGUGAAGGACGUCAGAGAGGAGGUGAUCAAGUAGUAUCAAGUUUGCCAUUCUUAGCUCCUCACCCCCCUUCAGAUGUGAAAUGGGGGAAAGUGAAGCAGCUUGGAGUUACUGGAAAUUGAAGGUUUUCCUGAGGAGAAUUACUGUGCUACGAGGGCCACUCAUGUCAAGGGGCAGCAAAUAAAUAAAUGCUUCAUCAAAUUAGAAGAAGAGAAUUUCAACUUCCUAAUCAGAGACAAAGAUUAAGAAAUUGAUUUCUGUUGCCUGUGCUUGCUACAAGAAAACUGGACAAAUACAUAUGGAUAAAUUUUUUGAAAAGGUACUAAAUCCACCCCACCCCUGUUCCCACAUUUCUCCUUGAGUGUGGGCUGUACUUAGUGACUUGCUUCUAAUGAAUAGACUAUGGGAAAAAGGGAAAGUAACUUUAGAGUGGAAGAAAAUGACCAACACUAUCUUAAGGUUGAUAUCAAUGCUAACCUCUUCAGUGACUCAGUGUUAAUGAUGUGUACCCUUGCUAUGAUGUGAUAACAAUGGCACUUGACAUCUGUGAUAUUCUUUCUCCAAAUCCAUCACCCCAGUCUAACAGUGAGAAAAGCACUAAACAAAUCCACAAUGAGGGACUUUAUGCAAAAUACCUAACCAGUACUUCAUGAACACUCCAAGGUCAUCAAAAUCAAAGACAACACAUUGCCACAGACCAGAGAAUACUAAGACCAGAGAAUGCACUGGCCAAAUGCAAUGUGGUACCCUGGGCGGGAUCUGAAAACAAAGGACAUUAGGGAAAAGCUAAUGAAAUCUGAAUAAAGUCUCAAGUUUAGUUAAUAGUGGUACAUCAGUAUUGGUUUGCUGGAGUUUCCAUAGUGGUACACUGGAAACGAAUCCAACUAGGAACCAUGAG